CUUGAGAAUACUUGUUACUUACUUGUAUCUGAUUUUUACAGGGGAAACCAGGCAAACACAUUUUAUAUGGCUGCAGUGAACUUUUUAAUGCCACACAGUUCGUAAAACAGCUGUCACAACUUGGACAGAAAUAGCACAGAAGAACCUUAAUAUGAGACUCUACUUGGACUUGGACAAAUGUAAAAAGAAAAGUCAAAAGAGCCAGAUGUUUUCUUCUCUAUAUCAGUGUCCUAACAGUGAAACUUAGAAUUAUUUGUUAAUUUUUAAGGAAAUUCUAUACUUAAUAUAAUGUGUACUGAUUAAAAGAAUAAAGCAUUUCAGAAAUAAAUUUUUAACAUUGUACAUUCUCUCUCCUGUUAUGUUUCCCAAAUGAGAAAGUACUUGGAAGGAAAGCAACCUCUGUCUGAAUAUAAUGUUGAAAUAUUGAUAUAAUAACAAAUAUGUUAUUGAAACUAGUGAAAGUUUAAGAAUAUAAUAUACAAAUGUUA